rnacentral:tRNA from 6 species
GGUGGCAUGCCAAUUAGGAAUGGUACAAGGUUAGCAUACCCUUUUAUGUUGGUUCGAAUCCAACUGUCACCU